rnacentral:lncRNA from 1 species
UAUAUUCGGUUCCGGUUCGCUUCUGGUUUUUGGUUAAUUCGGGUUAAACAGUCUGAAAAUUCGGAUAUUUUUGAAUAAAUAUCAGACAUUCGAGUUUUCGGAUAAAAAUUUGGAAAAUCGAAUAAUUUUAAACAUUUCUGAUAAUAAAUAUUUUAGUAAUUCUGCUUUGUUGCGUAUUUUGAUUUAUAAAGAAUAUUUUUAAAUUAUUUGAUUAUUUUGAAAACUAAAUAUAGUUAAUAUUUAUAAGUAUAUACUAUAUUAUAGAAUUUCGGAUACCUAUUCAGUUUUCAGUUUGAUUACAGUUCGGUUUUAAUUUUUCGGUUCUAAAGAUAUAAGAUCCGCUCGGAUAAUUUAUAAGAUUCAAACCCGAACCG